rnacentral:rRNA from 1 species
UACGGGGGGAGCAAGCGUUGUUCGGAUUUACUGGGCGUAAAGGGCGCGUAGGCGGCGCCGUAAGUCGGGUGUGAAAUUUCGGAGCUUAACUCCGAAACUGCAUUCGAUACUGCGGUGCUUGAGGACUGGAGAGGAGACUGGAAUUCAUGGUGUAGCAGUGAAAUGCGUAGAGAUCAUGAGGAAGACCAGUGGCGAAGGCGGGUCUCUGGACAGUUCCUGACACUGAGACACGAAGGCCAGGGGAGCGAACGGG